rnacentral:rRNA from 1 species
UACGAAGGGUGCAAGCGUUACUCGGAAUUACUGGGCGUAAAGCGCGCGUAGGUGGUUUGUUAAGUCUGAUGUGAAAGCCCUGGGCUCAACCUGGGAAUUGCAUUGGAUACUGACAGACUUGAGGGCUUCAGAGGGACACGGAAUUCCGGGUGGAGUGGUGAAAUGCGUAGAGAUCCGGAGGAACACCAAAGGCGAAGGCAGUGUCCUGGGGAGUACCUGACGCUCAGGUGCGAAAGCCAGGGGAGCGAACGGG